GGACGGACGGACAGCGGAGUCUUAGUAAUAGAGUUCCGUUUUUACCCUUUGGGUACGGAACCCUAAAAACUAGGUAGACCGCCACACCGGACACCGUCAAAUUAAGGGUUAAAAAUAAAUACACAAUAAUACUUUCUGCCUAUAACGCUCGUUGUUUGAGCUCUUAACGCUUGACUCAGGCCUUCGAGGUUCAGGGGCUUGAGCUUUCAAUAGGCCCGAGUUUUUAAAGCUUUAGCUCUUUAUGAAGCCCGAGUCUUAAAGACUCACUCUUAAGAGCUCAUAAAAAGCUUGAGUCGUUAAGGUUCUGAACCGUUUCUGAGCUCAAGCCUUUAACGCUUGAGUCUUCAAAGCUUGAACCUUCAAGGUAUGCAAGUCUUUAAGAGGCCGUUAUCGAUUUUAGUCGCAAAAAUGUAAAAUUGUUAGAUUUUGACGAAGAAAUUCUACACUUUGUGCUACCUAAUAGAAAUAACAAGUACUGGUUUCUAUUCGCACGUCUUCCCAUCUUGUACUUUUGUAGAUCAUUUUUUUGAAAAGAGACUCACUAAAUUAGUAAUGAUUUUUUUUCUGAAGGACGUUUAGGUAAACGCGCGUAAAGCACUGAUUUUGACGAUCUUAUUUGUAAAUUUCGUAAAGUUUGGACUGCUAAAAAUGGUAAAUUUGUAUUACACAUAUCCUGUACUCGAACUUU